AGCUCCGAUAGCAUAUGCAAAUGCUGUUGCGGUUAAAAAGCUCGUAGUUGGAUGUCGCCGGUGGCAGUCCGGUCCGCUUUUGGCGCGACUGGUCUCGACCACCGGGAGCUUUGCCGGAGGCGUUCAGGUGCUCUUGACCGAGUGUCUGUUCGCGCCGGCAGUUUUACCUUGAACAAAUGAGAGUGCUCAAAGCAGGCUUGAAAAGCCCGUAUUCCCGCGCAUGGAAUAAUGGAAUAAGACGUCAGUCCUAUUCUGUUGGUUUUCGGAACCGACGUAAUGAUUGAUAGGGACAGUCGGGGGCGUUCGUAUUCAGACGCUAGAGGUGAAAUUCUUGGACCGUCUGAAGACGCACCACUGCGAAAGCAUUCGCCAAGAAUGUUUUCA
rnacentral:rRNA from 1 species